GACGAACGCUGGCGGCGUGCUUAACACAUGCAAGUCGAACGGUGAACCUCUUCGGAGGGGCUCAGUGGCGAACGGGUGAGUAACACGUGGGCAACCUGCCCCCGGCUCUGGGAUAACUCCAAGAAAUUGGGGCUAAUACUGGAUGUUCACCGCUUCCCGCAUGGGUGGUGGUGGGAAGGGUUUCUGGGUGGGGUUGGGCCCGCGGCCCAUCAGCUUGUUGGUGGGGUAGUGGCCUACCAAGGCGACGACGGGUAGCCGGCCUGAGAGGGUGACCGGCCACACUGGGACUGAGACACGGCCCAGACUCCUACGGGAGGCAGCAGUGGGGAAUAUUGCACAAUGGGCGGAAGCCUGACGCAGCGACGCCGCGUGGGGGAUGACGGCCUUCGGGUUGUAAACCUCUUUCAGCAGGGACGAAGCGCAAGUGACGGUACCUGCAGAAGAAGCACCGGCCAACUACGUG
rnacentral:rRNA from 1 species